rnacentral:tRNA from 1 species
GGGGGCGUAGUUCAGUUGGUUAGAACGCCGGCCUGUCAAGCCGGAGGUCGCGAGUUCAAGUCUCGUCGCUCCCGCCU